rnacentral:rRNA from 1 species
CCUACGGGAGGCAGCAGUGGGGAAUUUUGGACAAUGGGCGCAAGCCUGAUCCAGCCAUGCCGCGUGUGGGAAGAAGGCCUUCGGGUUGUAAACCACUUUUGUCAGGGAAGAAACGGCCUUUACUAAUAUUAGGGGCUAAUGACGGUACCUGAAGAAUAAGCACCGGCUAACUACGUGCCAGCAGCCGCGGUAAUACGUAGGGUGCAAGCGUUAAUCGGAAUUACUGGGCGUAAAGCGUGCGCAGGCGGCUUUGCAAGACAGAUGUGAAAUCCCCGGGCUCAACCUGGGAACUGCAUUUGUGACUGCAUGGCUAGAGUACGGUAGAGGGGGAUGGAAUUCCGCGUGUAGCAGUGAAAUGCGUAGAUAUGCGGAGGAACACCGAUGGCGAAGGCAAUCCCCUGGACCUGUACUGACGCUCAUGCACGAAAGCGUGGGGAGCAAACAGGAUUAGAUACCCUGGUAGUCCACGCCCUAAACGAUGUCAACUGGUUGUUGGACGGCUUGCUGUUCAGUACGAAGCUAACGCGUGAAGUUGACCGCCUGGGGAGUCGGCCGCAAGGUUGAAACUUAAUGAAUUGACGGCUGGAGAGUAGCGACGGACGACGACGAGGGAGGAGG